UAUUGGGAAUAUUUGUAACGAUAUCUCUCUUUGGUUUGGUCAGAUCCGACCAGUGUUCAACUUCUGUUUCUAAUUUUCAAAUUGCAAACUUUGGCAACGCGAAUUUAGAUGUAGAUAGCUAUAUAAAGAUAUCUCAAAGCCUGUCAGAGAUGAAACAGACAACUCUUAGAAUGGAACAAAAACUUCACCGUAUGUACUCAGUGCCAUGUUCAAUUGAGCAUUGCGAGAACGGAGGAACAUGUGUAAACGAUACGUGCAUGUGUAAAGAUGGCUACGCUGGAUCAAAGUGUGAAAUAGAUGUUAACCGAACAUGCCAGUGCGACAGCACCGCAUUUAUUCCGCAUCCAAAUAAAUGCCAGCUCUACUAUAAUUGCAGUCAAGCGGUGUCUCCCCUACCAACAGAAAACCGAAAA